UGGGGAAUUUUGGACAAUGGGGAAAACCCUGAUCCAGCCAUCCCGCGUGUGCGAUGAAGGCCUUCGGGUUGUGAAGCACUUUUGGCAGGAAAGAAACGUCAUGGGUUAAUACCCCGUGAAACUGACGGUACCUGCAGAAUAAGCACCGGCUAACUACGUGCCAGCAGCCGCGGUAAUACGUAGGGUGCAAGCGUUAAUCGGAAUUACUGGGCGUAAAGCGUGCGCAGGCGGUUCGGAAAGAAAGAUGUGAAAUCCCAGAGCUCAACUUUGGAACUGCAUUUUUAACUACCGGGCUAGAGUGUGUCAGAGGGAGGUGGAAUUCCGCGUGUAGCAGUGAAAUGCGUAGAUAUGCGGAGGAACACCGAUGGCGAAGGCAGCCUCCUGGGAUAACACUGACGCUCAUGCACGAAAGCGUGGGGAGCAAACAGG
rnacentral:rRNA from 1 species